GGUUCGGGGGACUCUCAGGUCCUAACGGUGACCCCUGGGGACCAUGCUUGGAAAACACCUUGAAGCCGGGGACCUGAGUGUGGGCGACAGAAUAAUGUCUCCGUGGACCCCCGAGAUGUCCACGUCCUAAUCGCCAGAACCUGUGUCAAGAAUUUGUCCUGCGUUGACUGUUCCAUGUACUGUUAUGUGUCAUGGAGACAUAGUGAGAGGAAGAUAACCUAAGAUGCUGACCCCCACAGAGUGUAAGAUCUAGUGGAACAUACAGACAAGAAUAAUAUAGUAGUGCAGAACUUGGCACAAAGGAGGUGACCAAUGAAUAUUUAUUAAAUAAAAUAUAAA